CGAGAAGAUGAUAAACUUUCUUCCUGUUCUUAGAUCAAUAUGAAAGACUUGCUUUUAUUUAAUGAAUUCAAAGUUGUUCACUAAUUCUAUUUUGUUAUUCUUCCUAGUCACUAUAACAAUUUUUUAUUUAAAAAAAAUCUAUAUUUUAAAGUCAGGAAGAAAACACUGAACUGAAGUAAAAGCCAGCUGGGUUGCAGUUUGGGAUAUUACUGUUACUAUGUCAGUGAUAGUAAUAAUGAUUUGGUAAGUGACAAGUUUAUACCAUCCCUAUACUUGGGGCUUCCUUGUGUUGUCUAACUGACCCCUAAAACUUUUGUGAGCCCCACCAAUGUGCAUGAUUUACGUUAGCUAUUAGCCCUAAAUUGAUCGUAGGCUUCAAAAAAUGAAGAUUGGGGAAAUCAAAUCUUCUCAGGAGAUCUCUCUAAUCCUGACAGUCUAUCACUAUAUUGUAUGUUUCUGGGAGUAACUAUAUCAGAAUAUAAAGCACCAGACCUGAAUGCUGAGGGAAAUUUUUAAGAGCCAACAGAGUUCCCCAAUAUCUUAUGUUCAUGUUAUCGUUUAUACAGUCAAAUGUUUCCUAAAAGCAUACAUUUUAUAAACUUCUCUUUUGUUUUUUUCCUCACCAUAGGCAAAAAAAAGAAGAUAAUUUGAAUUUGAACUACUGUGAAGUGCACUAUGAAUAACAACCACUGGAUUAAAAAAUAAUGGAGCGUAUUAACAAGUUAAUUGUGCAGAUUAAAAAAGAAGAGCUUAGUUUGAGCUAGAAUUGAAAGAGAUGACUUCAUAGAAAAUAUAAGAUUCAAGUGAAAGAUCAAAUAUGGAUGGAAGAGCACAAACCUGAUAUCUUUAGAAUGUAUCUAUAACAUAUGCAUGCCUCGCUCAGAAAUAAAAGUUGAGAUGAUAAAAUGAAAGAGUGGGAUCUAAAUACAGGAAUGUAGAGGAUGGUGAGUCAGGCUGCCCAGUUCCAAAUCCUGGCUCUGCUGUUUUCCAGCUGUGAGGUAGUAAGCAAGGGAUCAACCCCAUCACCUGAUAUAGAGUGAUAAAUAUCUGAAUGACUGAACAAACCAAUGAAUCAAUCUGGUGUAUUAAAUGGACUUAUAGAAGGGAGUUGAUCAUGUGAUACUGGACCGAACAUGUCUAUGGGACAUCAGAUCAUCUUUUGUUUUCAUGAUAAUGAUCCUCUUUCUGUAAUCCCAGUGCUGUUAUCUUUGGAUUAUCAUAGAAGGUUCAUCCUGUCCAAGAACAUUGUGGGUGUGUUACAUCAUUGCUGCCAGCUAGAUGUUCCACUUAAAGAAAUGCAAACAAUUUGGAGCUGAUUUAACCAGCAACAGACCAAGCAGCUGAGAAACCUUCAGAAAGCAAGAAUAAAUUGUUUGUGACAUGGUAUAACAACAACUCAUCAAAUCUACCAUAGGAAAGAUAGAAGAUGACUAUUAAAAAACAGACAUAUUAGCCCUGCAAACUUUAGACUCAACACUUUUCAUCUACUAUGAAAAGAAGUGAACUUUGCAAUAUGUCUGCUUUUUCUUUGCUCGUGAAUAAUAAAUGUAUAAUUACCUAUACAUUUUUUUUCUUUAUCAGAAUAAUGCUCAUUGCUUUAAAGGAACCCUAAUCAUCAAAGUCAUUUAAAAUGUCACUUACUGGUAUAUUUUCCUUCAAAGACAAUCCUAUUCACCAGAGAAAAUGAGCCUCCAGAGGCUGAACUGAGGAUCUUCAACAAUAACAACAACAACAACAACAACAAAAAAACAGUCAUUCACCUGUUUUUGUUCUAUCUACAAAAAAAGGUUCACUGGCUCACUCCUGAAGUCAACUUUGGUGAAAAUAUUGUCUCCAACUACCAGGCCCUAUAAACCAAACAAA